rnacentral:rRNA from 1 species
UACGAAGGGGGCUAGCGUUGCUCGGAAUCACUGGGCGUAAAGCGCACGUAGGCGGGUCGCUAAGUCGGGGGUGAAAUCCUGGAGCUCAACUCCAGAACUGCCUUCGAUACUGGCGAUCUUGGAGUCCGGGAGAGGUGAGUGGAACUCCGAGUGUAGAGGUGAAAUUCGUAGAUAUUCGGAAGAACACCAGUGGCGAAGGCGGCUCACUGGCCCGGUACUGACGCUGAGGUGCGAAAGCGUGGGGAGCAAACAG